GUCCAUAGUGCGUUUUAUCCUGAACACAUACCCUCCAAGUACAGAUGGCUCCUCAGGGCAGAAAUUAAAGAUGAAGAGAGAAAUGGCUCUCCAACAGAACACAAUCCAGCGAGGCUCUUUAAUGGAGAUAAAAGGGAGAGACAGAUUUAAAGGAAGUCGCUUCCAAAGCUAAACGUGCCGACCACUGACGUCUACUGUCUCAUUUCCCGGGAAAGAGAGCUGUGUGGUCCUCAGCACUGCUAACCAAUCUGCUAAUCAGAUUCCACCAAGGUGUUCUUGAUCUCUGGCUCUGUUGUACCUCUAUCAUUUGAGAAUUCUAUUUUAAACCGUCAUUUAUUUAUUCAUUCGGCUAACGUUAAUUGAACACUACUAUUGCCAGGCACUGUUUGGGGCACUGUGAACACAGCAGUGAACAAAAGAGCUUUCAUGGACAGUCUAGAGAGAAAGGCCAGCAAAGAAGAAUUAACAGGAGUGCAGACUGCAACACCAACCAGACGGGGAGAAGGCAGAGGUAUCCCAAGGACUUUAAGGAAAUAUACUAUAGAAACUACACAAAAAGGAUGCUGGUGUUUCAGAGAACAUCCAGAUCUAAUUCCUUUGUGAGCAUACUGGAAACAUCUCCAUACGGCACUUUUAUCUUUAGUAUUGCUUAGUAGUUGGCCUUGGAAGCCACUAUGGGUUCAACUUUGGGCUCUACCACCUGGGUGACUUGGAGCCAAGAUAAUUGCCCGCACUUAGGCUUGGAAUCUCCCACGGGAGGAGGAAACUCAAAUGCCAGGUGAGUUCCUGACACUUUCAACUAUUGGUGUUGCCAGUGAAAAGGGCUGAGUUAAAAGAUGGAACCAAGUGCAUUUCCUAAAACUCUUUGAGACCUCCAGAUUCAUUCCUGCACCCUGCAUAGCUGGGUGACAACUCCUCACCAUCCUUGCUAAAGAUUUAUUCUCUGAGAGUAAAACAGAGGGUCCCUGGGCUGAGGAGACCAGGCACAGCUGAAGACAGAAGUGCUGUAGUGAGUCAAAGGGUGAAGAUCUGGAGACACCCCGCAGGCACACCACACCAACACACAUCUGGCCAGUACUCUUUCUAUACUCAGCUCCUGUCACACCUUCACCCACUAACCAAAAGAUGGAAGCAUUUCCUCUGGCCACCCCAAAGGAAAAAAUCUAAAGACACUUAUCCUAGAGUUUCCCCAGCUGGAAGGUUAAAUGACAUGGCUUCCCAGUGAACCUCAAUCUACAAGCCCCCAACAGCUUAGAUAUGAGCAGGUGGGCAAGACUGACAGACUGCUCAGAAAAGCCUCUAAUGUUAAAAUAAUGUAAAACAAAUGGGUGGAAAAGAGAAAUAUGAAUCAAACAAUGAUUAUAC
ensembl:lncRNA